rnacentral:rRNA from 1 species
GACGAACGCUGGCGGCGUGCUUAACACAUGCAAGUCGAGCGGUAAGGCCCUUUCGGGGGUACACGAGCGGCGAACGGGUGAGUAACACGUGGGUGACCUGCCCUCAGCUCUGGGAUAAGCCUGGGAAACCGGGGUCUAUACUGGAUAUGACUCCAUGACGCAUGUUGUGGGGGUGGAAAGCCUUGUGCGGCUGAGGAUGGGCCCGCGGCCUAUCAGCUUGUUGGUGGGGUGAUGGCCUACCAAGGCGACGACGGGUAGCCGGCCUGAGAGGGC